CCCGGCGCGCAGGCUGCUCUCCAGUCUCGGCCACAGGGUAGCGCUCGGCCCCCCUCUCCGCGUCUCCGCCUCCGCCUGCGCCGCGCUCGUCCCCGGCUCACGCUGCCCCCGCAGCUCCGGCUCGGCGCAGGCAGGAGCGGCUCUCAGGACGCCGAGCCCGACAAGCGGAAGGCGGCGGGCUCGGCGAGCGGCGGCGGCGACCGAGGUGGGCGGCGGCAGAGCGGCCGAGGAAGGCGUAGGGGUGGCUGCAGCUCCUCCCGCCGGGGCGGUCGGCGAGCGCCGGGCAUCCGAGGGGACGCCGAGCCCCCGGGGCCGGGGCUGCUCGCCGGGCUCUCGGUGCGUCUCGCCGAGAGCUCUGGCCAGGGCGCGGCGGAGGGCAGAGCCGCCGGUCUCCAUCCUAGCGCCGGCAGGAGGCUCCGCGCCGAAGCCCUGGCUUCAGCCCGGGUCGCCGAUCCCAGCAGCCGCCCCUGCCAGCCCAAAGCUGGGGUGGACAUGGGCGCGCGGGGCUGUGUGCCGGGCCGCAGGACCAGCAAAGUUUGCUAGCCUCCUGGGCGCAGAACCGGAGGACACCCGGUCCCGAAGCCCCCGGAGGGGACCCAGCAUCUCCGGAUUCAGCGCGAGGGCGGUGGAGCCCAGAAGGGCGGCUCGGCCCCGCCAGAUACCUCCUGCAAAGUUAGAGAAGAAAACUUCAGCUCCAGGGAGACUCGGACCGUUAUGCUAACCGCGCCCCCCGAAACUGACACCCCUGGACGAACCUCAGCACCCGCGACUGCCGCCGCGCUCGGCUCGGAACGCGCCCCGGGGACCGGGCGCCUGCGACCACGGUGACUGCGUGGGUCCGGAGAACCCUACCAGGGGCGGGGAGGAGCGGGGGGCGGGCAACGUGGCCACCGGAGGAAGUUUCCUGAAGUUGUCCGCUUAUUCCGGAGCUCGGCCAGCGACCCGGCCGGAUCGCGGAGGCCGCCUUGGCUGGGAGAAGAAGUCGGAGUUGGGGUGCUAAGGGAGGCAGGCGCCCGAAUCCGAGAGGGCGGCUUUGCCUCUUUCUGUUUGCUCGCCCCUCUCCUUCCGGGCGCGCGGCCGGCAUCGGACUCGGACAGCAGAAGAGGAGGGAUUGGGGUCGCCAGCGCGGGCCCUCCCGGGCACAGUACGCCUGGGACCCAGAGCCGCGUAGACAGUCUCCUGGGACCAAGCCGCGGGGCGCCGAACCCCACGAGGAUUAUAAAGCAGGACGGAGGGGAAGGAGACCCCGGAGGACCCCCUCCAGGCUGGUCACCAUGUGGCGGCUGCUGAUCUGGACUCUGGUGGCUCUGUAUCGGAUCCGCGAGGCUGGAGCCCAAGGUACUGGGGACCAUCCCCACGUGGGGCUGGG
rnacentral:lncRNA from 1 species